GCUGUGACUGACUGAAAAUGAAACCUUUUUGUUUUCAAGAAGGCUAUCAGGUGGAGGUUAAUUUUAAAGUUUGUCUCUCCUGCUCAAUAUAUUGAACUUUAAUUACAUGCGGGAGCAGAAAAAAAAGGAAAUUCUAAAUUAAACAAUUUUCAGUAAAUGAAAUGUAAACAUUAGAUCACAGUACAGGAGGAAGUGUUUAUACAGCCCUAGCCACACCUCCCUAAACAAAGUGAUUUAACUAAUAAAUGGCAGAGAAAAAGCAGUGAGACUGCAGGGGAUGAUGUAUACAACAAAACUGCCUCAUUAAGCUAAAGAUGUUGCGGUGACUAUAGUGUCCCUUUUAAAGAACAUUACAUGUGGAUAUAAUCAACAUGUGUCCAGUGAUCUAAAUGGUCUUUGUGACUGCAGCCAGGAUUAUUUGUAUGAAUUUAGAGUUUUUCUGCUUGGGGUUCAGGGAAAUAAAUUGAGUCCGCAUGCUCCUAGGGACAGGUGCCUUCUAAUAUUUAAUGAGCAAAUGUAGUCACAUACUCAGAAUUUAAACUGCUCUUUGAAUUCUCACUUUAGUUAACCCUAAUAACAAGCAUUGUGUUGCUACAUUGAUACAAUGCCCCUAUACAGUCAGACCUUGCAUUUAUUGGGAUAUGUAAGAAGAUUUGGCUAUGCCUAGAAAUUGAGGUUAUGAAGGAUGGAGCAUUGCCAUUGAAGGUGCUGUUUUUGACCUGAUUGUUUUUCCGUGGCUUUGGCUAAAUGGUGCGAAAGGAGAAAACUGUUGUGCUUAGGUGACAUCCGUGUAUGAGUUAUUGUUCGUCCAGUCGGGCGCAUUUCCAUAGUGUGUGGCAAGACUACUCAUAAAGGUUAUGGAGACUGGAGAGUAAACAUCUAGGUAAAACCUGGGAUACUGCAAUUUUGCUAUGGCUAUUCCAGGAGUCUUACGCUGCCAAGAAAGCAGGAUAUGAGUUUACAGACUUGUUUGUGAACUCUUAUGUACUAGGUCUGGGUGUGAAGAUUAUAGAAUUAGAAGAUACACCUUUCCAGAUUAUGUUAGGAUGUCACGAGAAGCCCACAUAAGUUGUUAAAUCAUCCACAAACCGUUUGAUUGCUCAUAAAGGGAGGGCAUAAUGGUAUUCCUGACACCAUAACUACCACAGUGGUUUGUAAUGGUGCUUGGAGUAGUCCUUUGCUGAAUUUUAAAGGGACACUAGAGUCAUCAAAACGUUUGCUUAAUAAUGCAGUUUUGGUGUAAAGGUCAUGCCCCUGUAGUCUCACUGUUCAAUUCUCUGCUAUUAAGGAGUUGGAUUACUUUGUUUAUGCAGCCCUAGUUACACCUCUGCACAUGAUUUCAUAAAGACUAUGUAAAGUGAGAUCUAAUGUCUAAACUUCCUUUAUUGCACAUUGUUUAAUUUAGAAUUCAUGAUCAUGCUUUAAUAGUCUUCUAGACCCUACAGAAGCCUUCUGUGUGAUUAAAGUUAAAUCCACAGAGCAGGAGAUAAAAACCUCUAAAGUAAGUGAACAUCUGACUGAAGAACUUAACGGUUUCAUGCAGGCUGUGUGACUCACUGCCAUUGGAGGUGUGGCUAGGGCUGCAUGG